UCAGGCUGGAGUGCAGUGGUGCGAUCUCGGCUCACUGCAACCUUUGCUGUCCGGGUUCAAGCAAUUCUCCUGCCUCGGCCUCCUGAGUAGCUGGGAUUACAGGUGCCUGCCUCCGUGCCCAGGGGAAGCUGGCCACAUUGUAAGAAGUCGGACUAUGCUGAGACUGUCAUGAUGACAGAAAACCCAAGCUAGCCAGGUGGAGAGAUCACACAGAAAGAGAUGCCUGGCCAGCUGUUACCUGAUAUGCCAUCAUGCAAGAAGAUAAAGGAAGGACAGAGGUUAAACUAAGAGAUGCAGAAAUUAUAGUAUAUCAGCCAGGUGUGGUGGCUCAUGCCUGUAAACCCAGCCCUUUGGGAAGCCGAUGCGGGCGGAUCACGAGAUAUUAAUCCAAGGAACAAUACUGACGAAUUUCACGGACAAAAUACUAAGAAGGAAAUCAAGUGAAUCAAGCGGAGAAGAAAGACAGUGGAAAAAGAAAACUGAAAAUAAAAAUAUUUUCUAGACCCCUUGAAAUAAAGUUUGAAAAACCACAGUGCUUUGCAAAAUAUCACAUUCAAUUGCUAGCUAAAAAAAAAAUUCAUUGGAAGUGCCAUUGGGACAGCAGAGGAUGAGGAGGUCUGGUAAGGUCUCUGGCUGGUCUUGUAAACCAUACCCCAGGGUUGGGGCCAGGGUUUUUAGGCUCAGGCCUCUCUGAUAUGGUAGGAAGGUAUGAAGAGAAUCUUUUCAUCUAUUUUUUAACCAUUAAUCUUUCUCAAUGCAGCAGGAGACCAUGGGGGUCCUGGGUCUGGGGGUCUGCUUUUCUUCCGAAGCUCAGCCAGGCUCAGUAUCAAGGAGCUGACAUCAAGACACUAAUUGUGAGGGAAAGGAGAGAACAUCUUUAGAUAAGCCUACCUGCCCUGUGAUUGCCUGUGAUGGGGUUCAGGACACACUGGCCCCAAAUAUGGCACCUUGGCAUGGGAGAAAAUGGCAGAAGCAGGAAGGUCUCUCUCACCUUCCCCUCGCCCUUCUCCCUUGAAUGUUGAUGAAGAUAUGAAAUAAGGUUUGCCAAAUUACCUGCUGUAUUUAUGACCUCCCUUGAAGCAGGUCAUAAAGCCAUCAUUCCAGAGAUGCCCUCCCCAUACCCAGACCAAAGAAGGCUCCUUAUUUCUGAAGACACAGGGACACAAAGAGGAAUCUGAACAAACAGGCCUUACUAAGUUUUCCCCAGUUAAUUCCUAUUGGACAUGCCCUUUUUCCAUUCAUACUUCUCCACAAGCAUUCACUUCUUCAAUGACUUACACAAAAAAUAUACACAGGUUUAGUCCUUUCUUUGGGUCUUCAUUCCUGAAGGCUGCUGUGCCACAGAAAAUGUUAAUGCUUUUCUCUUGUUAAUCUGUCUUUUGUUAUAAAUGCCUCAGCCAUUAAUCCAAGAUGGAAAAGAAAAAUAUUCCUUUUUCCUGCUCCUAAGAGCCACCUAAUGUGUUGCAGACCAAACCCACAGCAAUCCUGUUAUCUGGGAGUUCAUCUGUGAUCUUGAUUAGAACUAACAUAGGAAAUAGAUAGAUGUGAGUUGCUUCCAGAAUAAGAUUAGAAUAUGAAAUCACAUUUAAAAUUUAAAAGCAACAUGUUAGCAACGACUCUAACCACAGUUCUCCCUUCUUUUUCAAAACCAGGGGUCUGGUCCAGAUCUUGUAUUGCCUGAAGAAGGUCCUAGGUACUACCUUUCCUGAAAGAAAGACAUGGUACUAAAGCUCCUCCAACCCACCUUUGCUCUUCUCUUACCUCAUAAAAUAGCGAGCAUCAAAUUAUUUGAGGAAAAGCAUUUAAGAAUUUUUUUUUUAGGGACAAGUUCUUGCUCUAUCGCCCAGAUUGGAGUGCAGUGGUGUGAUCUCAGCUCACUGCAGCCUCAAACUCCUGGGCUCACGCAAUCCUGCCACCUCAGCCUCUUGAAUAGCUGGGACUGCAGGCAUGCACCACCAUGAUUGGCCAAUGUUUAAAUUUUUUUGUAGAGACAAAGUCUCCCUAUGUUUCCCAGGCUGGUUUCAAGCUCCUGGGCUCAAGUGAUCCUCCCACUUCAGCCUCCCAAAGUGCUAGGAUUACAGGCAUGAGCCACCAUGCCUGGCUGGGUAUAAGAAUGUCAAUAUGCUUAGGUUUAGAUACAGUUUAGUGUUUUUCAAAUGACAGAUUGCAAUCCCUUAAAGGUUAAUAAAAUCAAUUUGGUAGGUUGCAAACAGCACUUUAAAAACAAAACAAAUAAACAAACAAACACACUAGUAUCUGAUGGUAGAUCUUGUCUUGUCUAAAGCCCUGCAGCGUGAGGCAUAUCCAGAAAAGGUCAACCCUGAGUCCCAUCUGGAGGGGCAUCCUCUCUAGGUCACCAUUUGUCACAGUCAGUUUUAGGGCUUGAGGAAAUUUAAUUUCCAUUUCAGAAACUCACUAAUCUAGUUGUGACCAAACUUUUUCCUACCAAUCUAACCAAGUUUGCUUAUAAACAAUCACACUGAGACCACAGCCUUCUUCCCCAACGUAGGUGCAGAUGAAAUAAAGAAGUUUAGAGCAGUUUUUUCUAACGUGGGCUCUGUAAUAAAAACCUGCUACAGUCAAAUAUUUGAGAAACCCUCCGUACUGUUAUCUUCUCUUAUAGAUUCCUAGCCUAUAAAAGAAGAGACCCAUUUAACUUUGUUUAACCCGUUAUGUCCUAAACUUUUUUGAUUGUGGAGUAACCUCUCUUAACAAUUCCACUACCCUAGCCUGAGCCCUUAGCCUGAUAGCUACUCCCUUUUGGGCUGACUGCAGCUGCCUGCCUCUUAGCUUUGUGACUACUGUCACACAACAUACGGUCUUUACUCAGCAGCCCAUACUAGGUCCUCACCAAUUUCUUGAUGGAGUACGAAGUAAGGUUUGCCAUAUUACCUACUCUACAAUUUGGGGACUUUAACCAUUGUAAGCCCAAUCAUCACUCUCACUUCUUAGCUUUUAUUUAAAGAGUAAGUUUGUAUUCUAAAUUGAUUUCUACAACUGCUGUUUAUGGAAUUAAGAUGAAUCCAGUGGUGGUCAGCUGAUCACUGUGGGUGAAGUCUGUUGGUUGCUUUUUACAGUAUUUUAUGUUCCUUCUUCUCUUGCUUCCUGUGUGCUGUGCUGUGAAGCAUGACAGAGCACCUGCCUGUGUGUGCACAGCACCGUGAACUCAAUCUUUCAGUCACUUUCUUUUCUUUUCAUGUUUAAAUAAGAGAUAAGCCACGUUGGCCAGGGCAUGUGGACUCUCCAUGGAGUUCACUAACAAACCGAAUUUAUGUAUCGUUGCAAAAUAGUCAACACUCCAGUCUGUUAGAAACAGGUGCCAAGAGAGGAAAUGUUUAAUAUUUUCCACGUGGCAUGGGCUCUGUCAGACAGUGUUUCCAACCAGAGUCUGUUUUCGCAGUUAAAUCAUAGGUUCAGAGUCUUCCUUUUGCCUCAAGAGUCUGUCUGGUGGCUGGCUCGCAGCUAGCUUCUGCACAAUCCCCUCACUCUGACCCUGCAUCUUCAAUGCCGCCAUUCUGCCAAACCGCUGCUACUUCUGGGUGAAAACCUAGUUCUAGCUCCCUCCAGAGUUAGCUGGUUUGGCUAUUUGAAAGCUACUCCUUCAAUGAACCGUUCUUUGUCAUUUCAGAAAUGAACCCUGCUUUCCAGCAUUUGGGCUGGACAGGGUUCUCCAGGCUUGCUAACUACAGCAGCUGUUUUCUGUCCCCAGUAAGAGCCAGGGUGACAUACCUACCUGCCCAGAGCCACCCUUGACAGGAGACUCAGGGAGAAGUGCCCCCAGGACCAAAGCACCUGCCCAGCCCACUGGAAGAAGGAAGCUUACAAUUCUGUAUGCUUGGAACCCACCAAAGCCUGAGGCCUCACUGGCACCCAGCCAUCCACAGGAGUUAGCAGCUGUUUGAGUCCAGAAGGAAGAACUUUUGGAGUCGGAGGUGGGAAAGAUAGAAAUUGCAUCCAAAUUAUCACAUUCCCAGAACCCUCUUUUGGCCCUACAAAUAAUGUUCACCACUCCACUUCCUUGUUCCUUCACACCUGCUACUUUGGAUUCAGACGAGAAGUUCCAAGAAUCCCUGAGUCCACAGCAUGACUCUGGUUUGCAGAACCUCUGUCCAGACCAGCCAGAUCAGAAUACAAAGGAAAGUGACACAUCCUGGAUCUCAACCCACUUCGAUGGGAAGUCUUCCUGAUAAAUUUAGAGAUAACCUAAAGCCCUUGGGGACUUCCUCUUGAUUUGAAUCUGCUGAACACCUGCCGCACCCCCACCGCACCCCCCCCCCCCGCCCCCCGCCACCGCAGAUGAAAACAUCAACUCUGCAGAAUUAAUGGAUAUGGGAAUCACCUGGGGACCUCUCAUUAAAUUGCAAAUUAUGAUUCAGAGGGUCUGGGGAGGGACAGAGACUCUGCAUUUCUAACAAGCUCUCCGGUGGUGCCCACGCAUCACCGGGGCCGGAGAACCUUCCAUCAUUCCAGCAAUGCUCACCAUCACUGCCAUUCUUGCUCUUCUUUCUGGGGCCGUUGCCCAUUUUCUCCAUGGUAUCCUUCUUUUUUCCUAUUCUUUUCCUCUUUUAAUCCUUUUUUUCUUCCCAGCCAACUCACUAUUCCUAUAUCCCUGCUAACCCUCAAUGCUCCUUCACUCAAAGAUGAAGAAACUCCUGCCCUUUCUUCCUCCAGACAUUCAUCUCCCUCCCUCCCUCCUCUCCUCAGCUUUGUAGUGCCAGGAAAAGAAAGAUCACCAUUUACUGACAAUUUUGUGUGAAGCACUGUCCCAAGUGCAUUACCCAUAUUACUUAACUCUCACAACAACCCUGCAAAGUACACAUUAUUUCUGCCAUUUUAGACAUGAGAAAAUUGGGACUUGGGGUGGUUAAAGAAAUCUUGUCCUCAACCAGGAAGUAGUGAUCUGAGAUUAGAAUUUAGAUCUGUCUGAGGCCAAAGUCUACAACUUCUAUACUGCACCAUGCUCAUAUAAGGUGAACAAUCUAGAAGGCAGCUGGUAGGAGUGGCUUCAGUAAAAAGGAAUGGAAUACCACGAGCUUCACCCCAUUUAUGCAUCCUGAACCCUUCACUCCACUUUUGUUAAGUACAUGCCCUAUGAGACGGUUUGACAUACCAAUAAUGAGAGCUGUUUCAAGAAUGCCCAGAUUAGCUAGGAUGGUUGGGACCUAAAUAGCACAGUAGUAAUAUUAAAGCCCAAAGUUGCCAAUAUGCUCAAUUUUCAAUGUAACCUUUUAUUAUAAAUUAAGACCCAUAACUGUACACACAGAGUCUGUUACCAAAAAAGAAAUUCCUUCCAUUGGCCAAUUAUUC
rnacentral:lncRNA from 1 species